CUGGUCCUGGUCACUUCACCCUGUAGGCUCCUAGGAAGGGUCCCACAGAUGUGGUGGGUGAGGGGAGCCACUGGGAUUUUCAGCAGGGGAGAGAAUUAGCCAGAUCUGCUCUUUAGAAAGGCUCCUCAGGCAGUAACGCAACAGAAACAUAGAGGACAUCAAGAUUGGGGACGGAGAGAUCAUAGGGGCAGGGCGGGGGUGGCAAUGAUCCUGGCAUGAAGUUAUGUGGGCUUGAACUUGGUGCCCAUGGGGUAGGGAGGAAAUUGCCAAGAGAGAUUAAGAGAUAAAAUGGAAAAGACUCAGGAGGCUGAGUAGUAUAAUGGAAAAAAAUUCAAUUACAAGAGUAAUACGUGAAGAUGUAGUUAUAAGAAAUGAUGCCCAUGCACAGGAAACAAAGACUUGGGAAGAAGACAUUCUUGGAUUUGAACUCAGGAUGAAAGGGCUGACCCAGAAAGACAUUCCCCAAGCUGUCUUUCAGCUCUGUUGUUCUGUAGUUUUUAUCCUCCUACAAACCAGGAGCUGAGAGCACCAAGCCCUGUGUUUGAAGAAGAGUACUUUCCAGACAUGAGGAAGCCCCUGAAGGAUCUUGGGCAAGAGAGUGACGUGAUCAAUCAUAGCUUUUAGAAGAGGGGCGGCCUGGAGGGAUGGGCUCUGCUGUGGAGAGGAGGGCAUGCUCCAUGUGCACGAGGUGGUUGAAGCCACGAGAGUGAAUGAGACCACCCAGGAGGGGACAGGGUGUGAAGCGAAGAGGGAGCCUGAGG
rnacentral:lncRNA from 1 species